CAGUGCAAGUAAGAGCUAGAGAACGCUAAAGAGAAACAGAUUAAUGGUGCUCUGACCUCCUCUGCUCAUAUAGAUCAUAAUUCUGUUAAACAAAAAUUGGAAUCUUUUCAGCAGUGUGGGGAAGGUGAGAGGGCGGUGGGAAUGCUCCUAGACCACUUCUGGCUACUUGCAGUGUCUCUGUACAGCCUACAAAACAGUGGAGCAUCGAGGUGCCUAAUUAGUCGGGCGCCGCCACCCUCUACCGUUGCCCCGGAACAAGGAGGCGCGAAGCACUUAACCUUUGCUAAUCAGGUCUCUAAUUGCCGUUGUGUUAAUUGCAUGCUAGUCUCAUGAAUUAGCCGCCCUUCCUACCUGAGGGGGGGAGAGACCUUGAGAAGGGCGGCUGAUUCAAGAGCCUAACCAUGGGUACACAGGAGUGAACUGCUAUAAAGAUCUCUCUCACUUGCACUGAGGAGAUAUCAAACAUUCAAGAGCUUCCAUAACUGAAGAUGUGAGAUGUGGAAUGCUUCUUCAGAGAUAUGGUGGGCACAUUUUACACUUUACACCGUCAAGUAAAAUUGGAGGAAAGUUCUCCCAAACGAAUGGAUCCCUCGUUGCCAUCAAUUAUUACUGUUUUAUCAAUGCCUUCAUUUGAUGUACGUGCGAAUAUAUACUACAAUGUGCCAGUUGAUCAUCCUCCCUCACAAGUUGCAAUAUAACUGACCACAACUAUUUAUAAAUUGGACAUUGAUAAUCAUGAGCAUUAUAUUCAUGGCUAACAGCUAUUAAUACGUGUAUAAUUAUAUGAUGCAUGUUAUUGCUGCACUUGGUCGAAUUUCAAUAGAAAUGUACAACAAAAAAUGACAUAAGCGGUGAACAAUGCUAUUGGAACAUGAUUGUUUAUAGUCGUCCGAGUGUUAUACAAUGCAGUCAUUGGUGGAAAUCGAUCAACGCAAAAUUAGGUUAGGCGACAACAGUACUUAAUGUGUACUUCAACAUUAAUUUGAUGGCCAUACACCGCCUUUCGUUGUUAUGUUAGCAAAAAAACCCUGGGCUCAUACUGUAUAUACCAGUCACUGACAUAUUUGACCCACUUGAAUGUUACAACAGUAAUGUCAUUCCUUAUGAGGGCAUCGUACACAGCAUCCCGUGUUUCCUUCACUACGUAUCCAAAGGAACUGUCUACAAUGCAAUUGCAUCAUUUGGAGUCACAGGAUUGUCAGGUUCAACAUGUACUUCUAUAUAUAGGUACAGGGACACCUUCGUCAAUAAGUACACUUGCUUUUCAGAGUACUUCUGGAUAUAGUUUUUUCUUAAUACAUCCGAUCACCUUGAAAGGUAUGGUGUGUGACUGUUUCAGACUCUGCGUCUGAAUAGUCCAGGGUUCCGUUGGCCGAAAACAAACAGCAAUUCCCCUCACUAUUAUUACCGUCUUGUCUUGCGGAUGUAGCACCUGCCACUUCCAAAUAACAAACACCUUGCCGUCUUUAAUUCUCAAUCCAUCGACAUUGACCACAUUGGCAAACUCAGGUGUGAAUACUAAUGAGGAAGAAUGCUCGAGCUCAUCAAAAUCUUCAUUUCUUGUCGUAUCUUGAACUGGUUUGGCAACAACAAGAUCAUUUUGGAGUUGAAUGAGCGUCAUAUGCACAUUAACUGUGUGAACGAGAAUGGAUUAUUAAAAUGUAAAACAGAGAAUAAAACUAACUUGUGCGUUUAGCCUAGCUGCUUUGCGACCACUUUCAGUCAAGUAUUGAGCUGCUCCCUCGGACCCUACCACAGUCAAACACAGGGCGGAUGAGAUUUUGGCCAGGCUUCUCAAUAGCUGGCCUUUGUUGUAUGUAGCAUGCAUGUACGGUCCACUUUAUACGUAUAUACAUUGUAAAAGGAGGCCUCAGGCUCUUCUGCUGUGGUACAUGCAUGGUCCUAGAUAUAACUUCUUUUAAUCAUAGAUGGCUUCUUAUAGCUGGUUGUUUUGGAGUGUUCCCUGACAUGAUUCUAUUGAUGGCAAGCUCUUUGCUCCAGGCUGUCUUGCAAUGUCUUUCAGCUUGUUGGUUAGUCUCACGAAUCAGCCGCCCUUCCUAGGUCUCUCCUUAGGAAGGGCGGCUAAUUCAUGAGACUGGCAUGCAAUUAACACAACGGCAAUUAGAGACCUAAUGAGCAAAGGUUAAGUGCUUUGCGCCUCCUCUGAGUGCCUAAUGUGCCUAAAUCGGCCAAUUAGAUUCUUAUGAGCGCACAUGAUAAAACCUGACGGUGGAUGACGCGCGUCCAAUUUCUCUUUCAUUCUUCCAACAUUAUGAUGUGUGUGUAUAUUAAAAGGUAAGAGGCAUACUAAUAGACAUAGGUGCUAGAAUACUGUCACACAAUACUGUCGACGACCAACAGGAAUCUGGACUCAAAACAGAAAUCAAAGAACAGGAAGAAGCUUAAACAAUAAUCUGCUAUGUAAACAUCUCUAUUAAUUAAUUAAAGUUAGAGUUAACAAACAUUUUUUGAAGGAGAAUUAAGGAGCAGCAACUGGAUAGAUGAGAAACACUAAUCCAGGGAGAUCGCAAUCUCCCAUCAAUGUCAGGCAAAGAAGAAGGCGUGGUCGAGCCCCCCUCCUUCUUUACGGCAAACCCGCAAGCAAUCACUCAGGGAGUCAGGGGCUGGGAGGUACUCUAGAGAAGUAAGUUUACACCAAUGACAAACUGCUAUGAUUUGUGCAAUGACAUCAUUGUAAAUGAUGAAGCAACGUUAGCUUGACUUCAGCAUUAUAAUACGUCUUUUUCUAUUACCCAAGUUGUGUACACAUAUCACAUACCCACAGGCAUCAGCUCUAUUUGUAUGUUUAUGUCUUGUUUUGUGACUUGCUUGUUUUUGGAGAUAAUACAUUUUAUAUAGUUUC